UACGAAGGGGGCUAGCGUUGUUCGGAUUUACUGGGCGUAAAGCGCACGUAGGCGGAUCGAUCAGUCAGGGGUGAAAUCCCAGAGCUCAACUCUGGAACUGCCUUUGAUACUGUCGAUCUGGAGUAUGGAAGAGGUGAGUGGAAUUCCGAGUGUAGAGGUGAAAUUCGUAGAUAUUCGGAGGAACACCAGUGGCGAAGGCGGCUCACUGGUCCGAUUACUGACGCUGAGGUGCGAAAGCGUGGGGAGCAAACAGG
rnacentral:rRNA from 1 species